GGGAGUAUAACUUAGCAGUAGAGUGUGUGCUUAGCAUGCGCAAGGUCCUGGGAUCAAUCCCCAAUGCCUCCU
rnacentral:tRNA from 1 species